rnacentral:rRNA from 1 species
UACGUAGGGGGCAAGCGUUGUCCGGAAUUAUUGGGCGUAAAGAGCGCGUAGGCGGUCCGAUAAGUCGGCUGUGAAAGUCAAGGGCUCAACCCUUGAAAGCCGGCCGAUACUGUCGGACUAGAGUCCGGAAGAGGCGAGUGGAAUUCCCGGUGUAGCGGUGAAAUGCGCAGAUAUCGGGAGGAACACCAAUGGCGAAGGCGGGUCUCUGGACCGAUACUGACGCUGAGGAGCGAAAGCGUGGGGAGCGAACAGG